rnacentral:rRNA from 1 species
CGUUUUUUGAUUAUGAUAUAAAAUUUAACCUGCCCAAUGAUUAUUUAAAUGGCCGCGGUAUUUUGACCGUGCAAAGGUAGCAUAAUAAUUAGUUUUUUGAUUGAAAGCUGGUAUGAAUGGUUGGACGAGAAAAUUUCUGUCUCUAAUUUAUUUUUUUUAAAAUUUUAUUUUUGAGUUAAAAAGCUUAAAUGAUUUUGAAAGACGAGAAGACCCUAUAGAGUUUUAUAUAAUUAUUUAAAUUUUGUUUUAGGAAUUUUAUAUUUAUUGUUUUAGUUUAUAUUUUAUUGGGGUGAUAAAAGAAUGGAAUUAACUUCUUUUUUAUUUUUACAUUUAUUAGUGAUUGUUUGAGCCUUUAUUUUUGGAUUAUAAGAUUAAAUUACCUUAGGGAUAACAGCGUAAUCCUUUUAGAGAGUUCUUAUCGAAAUGAGGGGUUGCGACCUCGAUGUUGGAUUAAAGUUUAUUAUGGGUGUAGAAGCUUGAUAAUUAAGUCUGUUCGACUUUUAAAAUUUUACAUGAUCUGAGUUUAAACCGGCGUGAGCCAGGUUGGUUUCUAUCUUUAUGAAAUUAUAAUAUUUUAGUACGAAAGGACCAAGUAUUGAGUAUAUUUAUUUUUUUUGAAUAUUAUUGUUACUUUGGCAGAAUAGUGCGUUAGAUUUAGAAUCUUUUUAUGUAAUUUUUACAGGUAAUAUUUGUUUAUUUUUGAUUUAUUUUUAUUAUUUUUGAAUAUAGUUUUAUUGAUUAUUUGUGUUUUAGUAGGAGUUGCUUUUUUUACUUUACUUGAGCGGAAGGUUUUAGGAUAUAUUCAGAUUCGUAAAGG